GAUGAACGCUGGCGGCGUGCCUAAUACAUGCAAGUCGAGCGAAUGAAUUAAGAGCUUGCUCUUAUGAAGUUAGCGGCGGACGGGUGAGUAACACGUGGGUAACCUGCCCAUAAGACUGGGAUAACUCCGGGAAACCGGGGCUAAUACCGGAUAACAUUUUGAACCGCAUGGUUCGAAAUUGAAAGGCGGCUUCGGCUGUCACUUAUGGAUGGACCCGCGUCGCAUUAGCUAGGUGGUGAGGUAACGGCUCACCAAGGCAACGAUGCGUAGCCGACGUGGGAGGAUGAUCGGCCACACUGGGACUGAGACACGGCCCAGACUCCAACGGGAGGCAGCAGUAGGGAAUCUUCCGCAAUGGACGAAAGUCUGACGGAGCAACGCCGCGUGAGUGAUGAAGGCUUUCGGGUCGUAAAACUCUGUUGUUAGGGAAGAACAAGUGCUAGUUGAAUAAGCUGACACCUUGACGGUACCUAACCAGAAAGCCACGGCUAACUACGUGCCAGCAGCCGCAGUAA
rnacentral:rRNA from 1 species